AAAACCUAGCACUCACGCGACCUGCUUUUCCCCUCGUUCCACCCCUGCUCGCCUCCCUCCUAGCCGCCGCCGCCGCCUCCUCCUCCUCCUCCUCUCUCUCUCCCAUGUUGCCGCCGUCGACCCGUACAGCUGCUCCUCCCCAUGCUAGCCCCUCCACCUUGCAUUCUUCCAGUCGUCCGUCCACGCGGCCAUCAACAGCACGGCACGGUAGGGGCGGUCAGGGCGCCUGCUACAAGCUGCUUGACCUUCUAGCGCUGCUUCCUCGGGUCUGCCGGCGUUGCUGCCUGCGCCUUCUCCAGCACCACUUCGCUACAAGCUGCUUGACCUUCUAGCGCUGCUUCCUCAGAUGUGCCGCCGCUGCUGCCUGCGCCUUCUCCAGCGCCGCUUUGGUCACCUGCGGCAACUCCGACCAAUGGUCUUCAUAGUCCUCGUGCCCUCCUGUCGAUGGGGAGGAGAGGAGGGGCGAGGCUGGAGCUCCAUGCGGCAGCACACACACCGUUGGGUGGAGGAGAGGCCAGCUACGGGGCAAGGAGCGGUGGGCGCAAAGCUCUAGGUGGCGCUCCUAUCACGAUGCGGUGAGCUGCAAGGGAGGGGUAGGAUGUCGGUGACACCAGAAGGAGCAGGCAGGUGAGGAGGGCAAGCAACACAGGAAGGCAUGUAUUUCUUCACACUAUUUUCACUAUUUUGCAACUUGUAUUGCAUUUUCAUGGAUAAUCCUUUUGCACUUCGGUUUUAUCUAAUCCGUUCCAAGCUUAUAAAUAAUGAUGUUUGGUCUUCUGCUAUUUUGGCAGAUGAUUGAUUAAGGAGGAUAAGAUUGUAAAGCUUGUAGUACUCUAUAUCAACAAGCGGGUCUAGCAUCUACAUUCUCUGACACUUUGUAUAUUUUCAUGGAUAGGGUUUGGGUGGCCUGAUGAGAGCAGCCCAGUGGUUACACCUCUGCAACCUCGCCAACGUUGACAAUCACUGAUGCCAUGCGGAAGAUGCUGCCCUUAUUUCUCACAUCCUGAAAGUCACAUUACAUCUAUGAACCAGAAGAACUAGAGAGCUGCGUCGACAUAUGAAGACGCGAGAGCUAAAGCAAAUAGACUGCGAGGUUAUCAGGAUACCGGAGAAAUGGGUUAUGCUUUAGUCCUUGUAAAUGGCACUGGUUUUUCUGGUGUGAGUAAAGCCUGACAGUGGUAAUGUGAAGCUGGGACUUCCCUAUCAGGCGUGACAUUGUAGCCAAAUCCAUGAGGAGUCGGAGGCAGUUACAGCAACUAACCAUGAAGCGACGGCGGAGAUCCAGUUCAUCUCACAGUUUAGGUCUGACCAGCACAAGGUGGCAACAGCAGUAGUGGAGAAGGCAUGAAGAGGCCCACAUCUGAAAAUCCGUUCUGCUGACCGAUAAAGGGAGAUGGUCUCAGCAUCCAUUGUGACAAUGUUGUCCAGAACAUGGACUCUGGAAACUGAAAAGUAACAGAUUUUGCUUCCAGGCGCACAAAGGCCACCGAUCGGAUCAGCGCGAAGAAACCUGUUCGGAUCACCUCAGCAACGGAUCAACCUCUGCACCUACAUCCAUUUCGACAGAUCAUUAGUCAAAGCAGGUUGGUCUUUUGGGGUUCCUUUUUGUCGCUGAUGGCUUGACGCACACUGGAUCAUCCUAUCAGAAGGGUUUGGCUUACCUCUGUUUGAGAGGAGAAAUCUGGAGGGAUAGAUGUUCAGAAGGGGGAUGGAAGACAAGAAGAAAAAAAGUUACAUAUCUUAAUUACCAGAAGUUGGGUGAUCAAAGCAACUACAUGAUGCAUCUCUGUCUAUGUACCUUUGCUUACCAUUAGCUGGGUGAUCAACACAAUCUACAUGAUGCAUCUCCGUCUAUGUAGCUUUUCUUAGCAUAAACUGAACUUAAUGACUUUAUUUAAGCCUAUGAGCCUACCAUCAAUAUAGUAUAUAGCAUUACGUAUUAACGAUUUCCUUAUGUUUAAAUACUAUCGGUAUCCAAAUGUUUCAACUUGCAUGGUUUGAAAGCUUGGUUUGCUUUCGCCCUUUGCACCAUUGGCGCGGUGGCCAUGUAGCAGCUCUGGUCACCGGGAGGGCUUAAUUCUGUGGCUGAUUCCAUCCACCCCUCCUGUUCUCGCUUCUCAUUCUCUUCUUGAUGCAGGGUCGUGAUGUGAUCCACCCUGUCCAGAGGGUAAUUUCUGCGUGUGAUUUGGGUAAGGAUCUGCAUGCUCUUCUUUUGCUCACUGCAUUUUUUCCUAGGUCGGCACCGUUGUUGUCACCGGGCAGAAUGUCCGACUGGCCAUGGGCAGGCUCGGAGCCCUCUGCGAGCAGGUGAAGGAGCUUAAUUUCUGAGGUGAUUCUGGUCACCUCCGACGCCGUCGGCGUCGGGAGGCAGAGGCUCAAGUACCGAAAGCUCAUCAACAACAGGUUGCAGAGAGUUUUUUCUGACAACAGUUUACUGAAGGUCAUUGCCUCUGGUUAUCUUCACUACUUGUGUGUUGAUAAUUCUCCUUGCUUGAAGUUUCGCCGAUCUGCAGAACCCACAGUUUGACCUGGAUGGGAAGGCCCGCGCUGCCAUCGGCCAGAGUGGCCUCAUGGCUAUCUACGAUACAUUGUUUAACCAGUAUUUUCAGGUCUACUACAUUGAAAGCAAACUAAAAGAUUACAUUGACCCAGAUUAUGAUACACUCAAGGUCAGGCUUGCAAACAGUGAUCUACACGCCAAUUGUCACAUCAUGCUAGGAACCGACAAGAGAGCCACCGUAACAACCAACUGGCUUGAGUUCCGCCGCCUUGCAAAAAUCCAUGAAGGAGACAUCUGUGCCUUUCGUUUCAAGGUCACCAUAAAGCAGUGCCUGGUUGUCAUCGUGCAUUGCCUUUAGAUGAACCAUCGACAUCAACGGAAAUCGUAUCUAAAUAUCAUCUAGCAUUCUAAGGACUACUAAUCAAGCUCUGUAAUAGAUGAAACCUUCCUCUAUUUUUCACGAUGCUAUCUGUUGCUUUUGAACAGCUACCACCUAUAUGCUUUUACCUAUAUAACCUCAGUUGUUGUUCCUCAUCGAUCUAUUAAUAUGCAUAAUGCCACCCUUAUCUAUAAUUACCUGUUUUUAUUA